UGAGUAAUAUAUCGGAACGUGCCCAGUCGUGGGGGAUAACGUAGCGAAAGUUACGCUAAUACCGCAUACGAUCUAAGGAUGAAAGCGGGGGAUCGCAAGACCUCGCGCGAUUGGAGCGGCCGAUAUCAGAUUAGGUAGUUGGUGGGGUAAAGGCUCACCAAGCCAACGAUCUGUAGCUGGUCUGAGAGGACGACCAGCCACACUGGAACUGAGACACGGUCCAGACUCCUACGGGAGGCAGCAGUGGGGAAUUUUGGACAAUGGACGAAAGUCUGAUCCAGCCAUUCCGCGUGCAGGAUGAAGGCCCUCGGGUUGUAAACUGCUUUUGUACGGAACGAAAAGGUUUCUAUUAAUACUAGGAGCUCAUGACGGUACCGUAAGAAUAAGCACCGGCUAACUACGUGCCAGCAGCCGCGGUAAUACGUAGGGUGCAAGCGUUAAUCGGAAUUACUGGGCGUAAAGCGUGCGCAGGCGGUUAUAUAAGACAGAUGUGAAAUCCCCGGGCUCAACCUGGGAACUGCAUUUGUGACUGUAUAGCUAGAGUACGGUAGAGGGGGAUGGAAUUCCGCGUGUAGCAGUGAAAUGCGUAGAUAUGCGGAGGAACACCGAUGGCGAAGGCAAUCCCCUGGACCUGUACUGACGCUCAUGCACGAAAGCGUGGGGAGCAAACAGGAUUAGAUACCCUGGUAGUCCACGCCCUAAACGAUGUCAACUGGUUGUUGGGUCUUCACUGACUCAGUAACGAAGCUAACGCGUGAAGUGA
rnacentral:rRNA from 1 species